rnacentral:rRNA from 1 species
GGUUAAGCGACUAAGCGUACACGGUGGAUGCCCUGGCAGUCAGAGGCGAUGAAGGACGUGCUAAUCUGCGAUAAGCGUCGGUGAGGUGAUAUGAACCGUUAUAACCGGCGAUUUCCGAAUGGGGAAACCCAGUGUGUUUCGACACACUAUCAUUAACUGAAUCCAUAGGUUAAUGAGGCGAACCGGGGGAACUGAAACAUCUAAGUACCCCGAGGAAAAGAAAUCAACCGAGAUUCCCCCAGUAGCGGCGAGCGAACGGGGAGGAGCCCAGAGCCUGAAUCAGUGUGUGUGUUAGUGGAAGCGUCUGGAAAGGCGCGCGAUACAGGGUGACAGCCCCGUACACAAAAAUGCACAUAUUGUGAGCUCGAUGAGUAGGGCGGGACACGUGGUAUCCUGUCUGAAUAUGGGGGGACCAUCCUCCAAGGCUAAAUACUCCUGACUGACCGAUAGUGAACCAGUACCGUGAGGGAAAGGCGAAAAGAACCUCGGCGAGGGGAGUGAAAAAGAACCUGAAACCGUGUACGUACAAGCAGUGGGAGCCUCUUAAUGGGGUGACUGCGUACCUUUUGUAUAAUGGGUCAGCGACUUAUAUUCUGUAGCAAGGUUAACCGAA